AAUUUGAAAUCUGGCCUUCGGGUCCGAGUUGUAAUUUGUAGAGGAUGCUUUUGGCGCAGUGCCUUCCGAGUUCCCUGGAACGGGACGCCUUAGAGGGUGAGAGCCCCGUACGGUUGGACACUAAGCCUCUGUAAAGCUCCUUCGACGAGUCGAGUAGUUUGGGAAUGCUGCUCUAAAUGGGAGGUAAAUUUCUUCUAAAGCUAAAUACCGGCCAGAGACCGAUAGCGCACAAGUAGAGUGAUCGAAAGAUGAAAAGCACUUUGAAAAGAGGGUUAAAUAGCACGUGAAAUUGUUGAAAGGGAAGCGUUUACGACCAGACCUUUUCCCGGCGGAUCACCCGGUGUUCUCACCGGUGCACUUCGCCGGGUUUAGGCCAGCAUCGGUUUCUAUAGGGGGAUAAAAGCCUAGGGAACGUAGCUCCUCCGGGAGUGUUAUAGCCCUCUGCAUAAUACCCCUACGGGGACCGAGGACCGCGCUUCGGCAAGGAUGCUGGCAUAAUGGUCGUCAACGACCCGUCUUGAAACACGGACCAAGGAGUCGAACAUUUGUGCGAGUGUUUGGGUGUCAAACCCUCACGCGUAAUGAAAGUGAACGGAGGUGAGAGCCCUUACGGGUGCAUCAUCGACCGAUCCUGAUGUCUUCGGAUGGAUUUGAGUAGGAGCAUAACUGUUCGGACCCGAAAGAUGGUGAACUAUGCGUGGAUAGGGUGAAGCCAGAGGAAACUCUGGUGGAGGCUCGCAGCGGUUCUGACGUGCAAAUCGAUCGUC
rnacentral:rRNA from 1 species